rnacentral:rRNA from 1 species
GACGAACGCUGGCGGCGUGCUUAACACAUGCAAGUCGAGCGGUAAGGCCCUUUCGGGGGUACGACGAGCGGCGAACGGGUGAGUAACACGUGGGUGACCUGCCCUCAGCUCUGGGAUAAGCCUGGGAAACCGGGUCUAAUACUGGAUAUGACUCCAUGACGCAUGUUGUGGGGUGGAAAGCCUUGUGCGGCUGAGGAUGGGCCCGCGGCCUAUCAGCUUGUUGGUGGGGUGANGGCCUACCAAGGCGACGACGGGUAGCCGGCCUGAGAGGGCGACCGGCCACACUGGGACGUGAGACACGGUCCGGACUCCUACGGGAGGCAGCAGUGGGGAAUAUUGGACAAUGGGCGAAAGCCUGAAUCCAGCGACGCCGCGUGGGUGAAGAAGGCCUGCGGGUUGUAAAG